rnacentral:rRNA from 1 species
GAUGAACGCUAGCGGCAGGCCUAAUACAUGCAAGCUGAACGGUAACUUUUGUAGCAAUACAGAAGCAAGAGUAGCGUAAGGGUGCGUAACACGUAUGCAAUCUGCCCUUAACUGGCGGAUAGCUCCCCGAAAGGGGAAUUAACCCGCCAUAGGAACUGGGAGUGGCAUCACUUCCUUUUUAAAACUCCGGUGGUUAAGGAUGAGCAUGCGGCUGAUUAGUUAGUUGGCGGGGUAACGGCCCACCAAGACAAUGAUCAGUAGGGGAACUGAGAGGUUGGUCCCCCACACUGGCACUGAGAUACGGGCCAGACUCCUACGGGAGGCAGCAGUAGGGAAUAUUGGACAAUGGGUGCAAGCCUGAUCCAGCCAUGCCGCGUGC